AUUGAACGCUGGCGGCAGGCCUAACACAUGCACGUCAAGCGGAGCGGCGGACGGGUGAGUAAUGCCUAGGAAUCUGCCUGGUAGUGGGGGAUAACGUCCGGAAACGGGCGCUAAUACCGCAUACUAUCAGAUGAGCAUAGGCCGGGUUAGCUAGUUGGUGGGGUAAAGGCCUACCAAGGUGACGAUACGUAACUGGUCUGAGAGGAUGAUCAGUCACACUGGAACUGAGACACGGUCCAGACUCCUACGGGAGGCAGCAGGAGGGAAUAUUGGACAAUGGGCGAAAGCCUGAUUCAGCCAUGCCGCGUGUAUGAAGAAGGUCAUCGGAUUGUAAAGGACUUUAAGUUAGGAGUCGUUACCAUCAGAAUAAGCACCGGCUAACUUCGGACCAGCAGCCGCGGUAAUAC
rnacentral:rRNA from 1 species